rnacentral:rRNA from 1 species
AGCGGAGGAAAAGAAACCAACAGGGAUUGCCUCAGUAACGGCGAGUGAAGCGGCAACAGCUCAAAUUUGAAAUCUGGCCCCCCGGGUCCGAGUUGUAAUUUGCAGAGGAUGCUUUUGGCGCGGUGCCUUCCGAGUUCCCUGGAACGGGACGCCAUAGAGGGUGAGAGCCCCGUACGGUUGGACACCAAGCCUGUGUAAAGCUCCUUCGACGAGUCGAGUAGUUUGGGAAUGCUGCUCAAAAUGGGAGGUAUAUUUCUUCUAAAGCUAAAUACCGGCCAGAGACCGAUAGCGCACAAGUAGAGUGAUCGAAAGAUGAAAAGCACUUUGAAAAGAGGGUUAAACAGCACGUGAAAUUGUUAAAAGGGAAGCGCUUGUGACCAGACUUGCGCCCGGUGAAUCACCCAGCUCUCGCGGCUGGGGCACUUUGCCGGCUCAGGCCAGCAUCAGCUCGCCGUCGGGGACAAAAGCUUCGGGAACGUAGCUCUCUUCGGGGAGUGUUAUAGCCCGCUGCACAAUACCCUUCGGCGGGCUGAGGUACGCGCUCCGCAAGGAUGCUGGCGUAAUGGUCAUCAGCGACCCGUCUUGAAACACGGACCAAGGAGUCAACCUUAUGUGC